GGCAGAAGCAGACCCCCACUGAGCAGGGAGCCCCAUGUGGGGCUUGAUCCCAGGACCUUGAGAUCAUGACUUGAGCUGAAGGCAGACACUUAAUUGACUGAGCCAGUCAGGCACCCCACAUCUAUUAUUAAACUCAACCGUAAUCACACCAAUUGUUUAGAAUUUAGACAACCAACAAAAUGUUUUUCGGGAAGGAGUAUUCUGUCAUUGGAUUGUUUAGAAUUGCUGGUGGAUGGUGACAAUAAAAAGCAGGCUGACUUUAAGUCCGUUUUAUUACUUCUUAAUAACUCCUUCACAGAUUAUGCACUCCUUACUGCCAGCCACCGAGGUUGAAGAGAUUUAAGUGAACAUGUGGGACUUCUGCAGUCUGCUUACAGGCAACUGACUCAGUUGAGAGGAAUAUUCUUUCUUGCUCUCUUUCUUUCAUCUCUGCAGUGUGUUAGGUGGACAUGAUGGGUAGAGCUCUAGCACCUUCUUCCAUCAUGAAGGGAACUUGAGGGUGGAAACUAGUGAUAGGAUAGAGCAGCAAAAUUGAGGACCCAGGUCCCUGCUUGUGGGGAAGAAGAGAAUCCCCUCUCAUUGGGUUAGGAUGAAACCCAUGACUUGCUUCUUCUAAUCAAUGGAAUAUGGUGGAGAUGGGAUAUCACUCCCAAAAUAAUACUUCAUUAUAUGGCAAAGGUGAAAGAAUUCUGUAGAUGUAAUUAAGGUCCCUAAUCAGUUGACUUUGAGUUCAUCAGAAGGGAGAUUAUUCUGGGUAGACUUGCCCUAAUCAGGUGAAUCUUUAAAAGAGGGCCUAUGCCUUCCCUGAAUUCAGAGACUCCAAGCAGCAGAGACUCUUUUCUCUCUGUUGCUGGCCUUGAAAAAGUAAUGCUCCACGAAUGUUACAGCCACAAAGAAAUGAAUUCUGCCAACAAUUCAAUUCUGGGGAGCUUGAAAGUGGAUUUUUCCCCCUAGUCUCCUGAUGAUGAUGUAGCCUAGCUGACACCUUGAUUUCAGCCUUGUGAGGCCACGCAGCUACGCCCAGGUCAGACUGUUCACUCACAGACACUGGGAGGUAAUAGAAGUGUGUUGUUUCAAGCUGUUGAGUUAGUGCUAGUGUGUUAUGUAGCAUAGAACACUAAUACAUUGAUGUCCGUGUUGUCACUGUAACAGCCCAGGAGUGCCUACCUCCAGGCUCCUUUUACGUGAGCAAGAAUUAAAUUUCUCACUUCUUCAAACCAUUAUAAUUUUAGAUUUUCAUUUAUAGGCAGCUGACCCUCACCUUUACUGAUUCAUGGAGAAAUGAGAAAGAGUUUAUAGAAGAUGAGUCAUUUGUGGUUGAUCUUAAAAGUGGAUACAAUUUCAGAAGGUGGAAACUGGGGUGUCUGGAGGUAGAAAAUAAUUUUCAUGGGACAGAGUGAAUAAGAAUACAUCGGAGGUGUUUUGAAGAAAUAAAGAAUAAUUCAGUUUCACUAGGUUGAAUGAGAUGAGGUUGGAAAGGUAGAUAAGAGCUGAAUCACAAAGCCAGAAGCUCUUGGAGAUUAUUUUCAAGCAAUGGAGAGCAAUGGAGGUUUUCUGACUGGGAUGGUAGCAUAAGCGGAGCUACGCCUUAUUUUAGAAACACAGUAUGAGUCAGUUCUCUUCACGUUGCAGAAACAUAUCUCAAAGUAGAUUUUGUCUCAAAGAGAUUUAUGGGAAGAGAAAUUGGGGAAGAGAAACAGGAACUUAAAACAGGAGCCAAGGACCUCAGCAACCAGAACAAAAGACUCACGCCUUAAGGUCUCUUUGUCUUGACUUCAUUCUCUGCUGCAAGAGGCUUCUCAUGGCUGCAGCAUUGCCCCUUAUAGUGGCCCACCUAAGGGGGAAGAAGUGACUUCCCUUCCAGCUCUGGUUGAAGAUAUCUCUGCUGGAAGAUGCACUUUGAAUGGACAACCUUGGAAUAAUGCCAAAGGCCAGCGGGAAGGAUAUGAUGAUUGGCCUGAGUGUAAGUGUGUGUGUGUGCGCAUGUGGUGUCUGCUACUAGAAAAAGGAGCCUGGCGAAUCAAAACAAAAUGUUUAUAUGGGCCUCAUCCAAUCAAUGGAAGGUCAAACGAACAAAACACUGAGGUUUCUCAAAGAAGAAGGAAUUCCAUCUCAAGGCUUGGGUUUCCAGCUUGCCGGCUCUACAGAAAUUUUGGACUUACCAGCCCCCACAAUCAUAUUCUCAUGAGCCAUGGACCUCUGGGGCCAUUGUGACUUCCAACAAGAUCAGGCACAUAGCAGGCACUUGUGCCCACAUGUGUCCUUCCUCUCGUGGAUCCACCGUCCCACGGGAGCUGCGGGGAGACUCCACAGUGGCUGUUUGAGUUGGUGCUCUUGCUGCUCUGCCCUCUUGAGGCCUGGUUCUUCAUCAUUUCCUGGCUUAGGCUCCCUGGUUGGGCACAGAGAGGAAGUCACUGUCUUUGGAUUUUCAGGACACCUAGAGUUUCCUUAGACUCCCUUUAUGCCGCCUCACCUCUGCCCACUGCUACCUAGACUCUCCCUCCCAGGUGUUGUCACUGGCUGAACUUAUAGUUUGGAAUAAAACUAAGCAAUU